UACGUAGGUGGCAAGCGUUAUCCGGAAUUACUGGGCGUAAAGCGUGCGCAGGCGGUUAUGUAAGACAGGGGUGAAAUCCCAGGGCUUAACCUUGGAACUGCAUUUGUGACUGCAUAGCUAGAGUACGGUAGAGGGGGAUGGAAUUCCGCGUGUAGCAGUGAAAUGCGUAGAUAUGCGGAGGAACACCGAUGGCGAAGGCAAUCCCCUGGACCUGUACUGACGCUCAUGCACGAAAGCGUGGGGAGCAAACAGG
rnacentral:rRNA from 1 species